rnacentral:rRNA from 1 species
UACGUAGGCAGCGAGCGUUGUUCGGAGUUACUGGGCGUAAAGGGUGCGUAGGCGGUUGUUUAAGUUUGGUGUGAAAUCUCCCGGCUCAACUGGGAGGGUGCGCCGAAUACUGAAUGACUAGAGUGCGGGAGAGGAUAGUGGAAUUCCUGGUGUAGCGGUGAAAUGCGUAGAUAUCGGGAGGAACACCUGUGGCGAAAGCGGCUCACUGGACCAUAACUGACGCUGAUGCACGAAAGCUGGGGGAGCAAACAGG